rnacentral:rRNA from 1 species
GAUGAACGCUGGCGGCGUGCCUAAUACAUGCAAGUCGAGCGAACAGAUGAGGAGCUUGCUCCUCUGACGUUAGCGGCGGACGGGUGAGUAACACGUGGAUAACCUACCUAUAAGACUGGGAUAACUUCGGGAAACCGGAGCUAAUACCGGAUAAUAUAUUGAACCGCAUGGUUCAAUAGUGAAAGACGGUUUUGCUGUCACUUAUAGAUGGAUCCGCGCCGCAUUAGCUAGUUGGUAAGGUAACGGCUUACCAAGGCAACGAUGCGUAGCCGACCUGAGAGGGUGAUCGGCCACACUGGAACUGAGACACGGUCCAGACUCCUACGGGAGGCAGCAGUAGGGAAUCUUCCGCAAUGGGCGAAAGCCUGACGGAGCAACGCCGCGUGAGUGAUGAAGGUCUUCGGAUCGCAAAACUCUGUUAUUAGGAAAGAACAAAUGUGUAAGUAACUAUGCACGUCUUGACGGUACCUAAUCAGAAAGCCACGGCUAACUACGUG